GUCUAUGGCCAUACCACCCUGAAUGCGCCUGAUCUUGUCUGAUCUCGGAAGCUAAGCAGGGUCGGGCCUGGUUAGUACUUGGAUGGGAAAAUGUCCCGUUCUCCAGAGAAG
rnacentral:rRNA from 1 species